GUCCACGCGGCCGUCAGGAAGGUUGAAUUUAGUCGCUCUCUUUCUGCGCCUACAUCACUUAACUCGGACUGAAAACAGUGACGAAAUCGGAAAAUUUCAGAUUGAUUAACGAACCUUAAUAAGCGUAGAAAUACUCUGAACGCGGUCUUGCAGUCUUGAAGAAACACAGCCCCCAUUUUGCUACGGGAAAGGAAGGAGCUAAGAAAAAGCUACAAAUAACGAAAGAUAGCGAAAGAGAGAGAGAGAAAACAAAAGUGCCAAGAACACGAAAGAUAACGAAUAAAGUGAUAUU